rnacentral:rRNA from 1 species
UGAACGCUGGCGGCAUGCCUUACACAUGCAAGUCGAACGGCAGCACGGGUGCUUGCACCUGGUGGCGAGUGGCGAACGGGUGAGUAAUACAUCGGAAUGUACCUUGUAGUGGGGGAUAGCUCGGCGAAAGCCGGAUUAAUACCGCAUACGCUCUGAGGAUGAAAGCAGGGGACCGCAAGGCCUUGCGCGAUUGGAUGAGCCGAUGUCCGAUUAGCUAGUUGGCGGGGUAAAGGCCCACCAAGGCGACGAUCGGUAGCUGGUCUGAGAGGAUGAUCAGCCACACUGGAACUGAGACACGGUCCAGACUCCUACGGGAGCAGCAGUGGGGAAUAUUGGACAAUGGCGCAAGCCUGAUCCAGCCAUGCCGCGUGUGUGAAGAGGGCCUUCGGUUGUAAGCACUUUGUUGGUAAGAAAUCCUGUCGCCGAAUACCCGGCCGGGAGUGACGGUACCCGAAACGAACUAAGCACCGGCGUAACUUCG